UGGUUUCGGAGCAGUGCGCAUGUGAAAUUUCAUGCCGGGUGUAUUUCACCCGGUCCGUACGCGACGCUACAAAACCUGGUAUUCGUUGGAAACUUUCGGAAAGAAUGGACGACUCGAGCGGGAGUAUCGAGGCCGGAAUUGGUGGAAAUUGGUCAACCUCCCCUUGCUAGGGGUGGUUAAGAAUUAUUUUCUCAUAAUCAGCAAGUUCCCACGAGUACUGUUCGCCAGUCGAACUGGUUAAUGUGCAGAACGACAAAUUGCAAACCCAAGUGGCCAGUCAUAGCGUAAAACCCGCAGAUUUAUGACGCCACUUUCCAUCGCCCGGUUAUUCAAAACGAGACCCAUUUUGCCACAGAACCAGCUAAAUGUACCGGAGCCGAGAUCCCGGGAUUCGAACAGCUGGGCCGAAUAAAAAAUCCUCCUCCAGAUCCGAUACUGUAACGGAAAUUUUUGUACGUACAUCUUAAAGCAAAUACAUCUCGCCAGAAAUUUCCGACCUUAGACAAAGACGGAGAAAGACGUUGACGGCGUUGUUCCCGAAGGCACUAUCGCAGCGUGACUCUGCAGUGACUCUGUUCCUAGGAAGACGGUCCCUUAUACCUACCGACCGCAUAGAUACUGAAUUACCGUAUUUGCACGACGUAUACACGAAUGCGAUAAAUAAAUACACACUCCGUUGAGAUUCGUUCCCGGUAUUUCCAAGAUCUCUCAUUCGCACAUAGUCACAACUAAAUAUGUCACACACGUGCGUCUCCUUUAAUCAACCUUAUACCCACGUAACAUGAACAGUGGAAACUUCCUUUCGUUACACAGCCUGCAGAAUUUUUUUCUAGAAAAUGCUAAACAAAUGAGUUGGUGUGGUUCCAACGUAUUUUGAUGCAUUAAAUACGAUA
rnacentral:misc_RNA from 1 species